CAAUAGCGUAUAUUUAAGUUGUUGCAGUUAAAAAGCUCGUAGUUGGAUUUCGGGUGGGACGCAGCGGUCUCGCAUUGCGUUUGUACUGCUGCAGCCCUCCUUCUUGCCGGGGGCGGCCUCUCGGACUUCACUGUCUGGGGGUCAGAAUCGGCGAUGUUACUUUGAGUAAAUUAGAGUGUUCAAAGCAAGCUUACGCUCUGAAUAUAAUAGCAUGGGAUAACACGACAGGACUCUGGCCUAUCGUGUUGGUCUAUAGGACCAGAGUAAUGAUUAGGAGGGACAGUCGGGGGCAUUCGUAUUCCGUUGUCAGAGGUGAAAUUCUUGGAUUUACGGAAGACGAACAUCUGCGAAAGCAUUUGCCAAGGAUGUUUUCAUUGA
rnacentral:rRNA from 1 species